GUCUAAAAAAACUAUUAAAUUAUUUGCUCUUCAACUUUGCAGAUGAUUUUAUUAUACUUUCAUUAAGUUACACUAACUUUAAGAAAAAGUAUUUGACCACUCAACUCUCUAUUUAUUGUUUCUCCUACAGGCAAACAUUAUAUAUUUUCUUUAACUACCAAGAGUGUGGACAAUACUUUGAAUAAAACUGAACUUUUGGCUUUCGCUCGACCCGAGUUUGGUUCUAUCUCUCUCUCUCUCACGAGAUGUCGGCAACAAUAAAUGCGGGCCGCAAGGCUCGAAGAAACCAAUUCCUGUGUGCUACACUCGACACCUUAGAGUUCGGUCCCGGCGACAAAUAGAGAGAUUUUACCUACUUUAUCAUUCCUGCUUUACAUCCAAAGAAUCAGUAGAAUCAUUUACAAAGUAGUUCCUCAUUAGUAUACCACUUUACAAUGUUAGUAUGUAGUCAAUUUAAUGUUUUGCUUUAACAGUGACAUUUUCUGAAUGUAUAUAUAUGUUCAUUUUACUUCAAACAUUAAAAAUAAUCAAAAUUAUGCAAA